rnacentral:rRNA from 1 species
GAACUUAAGCAUAUCAAUAAGCGGAGGAAAAGAAACUAACAAGGAUUCCCCUAGUAACGGCGAGUGAAGCGGGAACAGCUCAAAUUUGAAAUCUCAGCGCAAGCUGCGAAUUGUAGUUUAGAGAAACGUUUUCGGGGCCGGCAGCCAGUACAAGUUCUUUGGAACAAGGCAUCACAGAGGGUGAAAAUCCCGUCUUUGACUGGCUGCUUGGUUCCAUGUGAUACGUUUUCCAAGAGUCGGUUUGUUUGGGAAUGCAGACCAAAAUGGGUGGUAAAUACCAUCUAAAGCUAAAUAUUGGCGAGAGACCGAUAGCGAACAAGUACCGUGAGGGAAAGAUGAAAAGAACUUUGAAAAGAGAGUUAAACAGUGCGUGAAAUUGUCAAAAGGGAAACGUUUAAAACCAGUAUUGCGGGCAGAAACUCAGGUUCCAUUUAUGGUGCUGUAUUUUUCUGUCGGCGAGUCAACAUCAGUUUUGCUUGGAGUAAAACGCCAGGGGAAGGUAGCCUUCGGGUGUUAUAGCCUCUGGUAAUGCUCUGGGCGGGACUGAGGACUGCAGCGUUCUUUGGGUUUACCACACCAACGCUUAGGAUGUUGGCGAAAUGGUUUUAAGCGACCCGUCUUGAAACACGGACCAAGGAGUCUAACAUAUAUGCGAGUAUUUGGGUGGCAAACCCUUAUGCGUAAUGAAAGUGAAAAGGUGGGAUCCUUUGCUGGUGCACCAUCGACCGCGCCAGAUUAUUGCUAUCUCGGCGUGAGUAUGAGCAUACAUGUUGGGACCCGAAA